rnacentral:rRNA from 1 species
GACGAACGCUGGCGGCGUGCUUAACACAUGCAAGUCGAACGAAGAGCGACGGAAGCUUGCUUCUAUCAAUCUUAGUGGCGAACGGGUGAGUAACGCGUAAUCAACCUGCCCUUCAGAGGGGGACAACAGUUGGAAACGACUGCUAAUACCGCAUACGAUCUGAUCUCGGCAUCGAGGAUGGAUGAAAGGUGGCCUCUACAUGUAAGCUAUCACUGAAGGAGGGGAUUGCGUCUGAUUAGCUAGUUGGAGGGGUAACGGCCCACCAAGGCGAUGAUCAGUAGCCGGUCUGAGAGGAUGGACGGCCACAUUGGGACUGAGACACGGCCCAGACUCCUACGGGAGGCAGCAGUGGGGAAUCUGCCGCAAUGGACGAAAGUCUGACGGAGCAACGCCGCGUGAGUGAUGACGGCCUUCGGGUUGUAAAGCUCUGUUAAUCGGGACGAAAGGCCUUCUUGCGAAUAGUGAGAAGGAUUGACGGUACCGGAAUAGAAAGCCACGGCUAACUACGUG